GAUGAACGCUGGCGGCGUGCUUAACACAUGCAAGUCGAACGGAAAGGCUCCUGCUUGCAGGGGUACUCGAGUGGCGAACGGGUGAGUAACACGUGGGUGAUCUGCCCUGCACUUCGGGAUAAGCCUGGGAAACUGGGUCUAAUACCGGAUAGGACGAUGGUUUGGAUGCCAUUGUGGAAAGUGUUUCGGUGUGGGAUGAGCUCGCGGCCUAUCAGCUUGUUGGUGGGGUAAUGGCCUACCAAGGCGUCGACGGGUAGCCGGCCUGAGAGGGUGUACGGCCACAUUGGGACUGAGAUACGGCCCAGACUCCUACGGGAGGCAGCAGUGGGGAAUAUUGCACAAUGGGCGCAAGCCUGAUGCAGCGACGCCGCGUGGGGGAUGACGGCCUUCGGGUUGUAAACUCCUUUCGCUAGGGACGAAGCGCAAGUGACGGUACCUGGAGAAGAAGCACCGGCUAACUACGUG
rnacentral:rRNA from 1 species